CCGCCGCCACGUGACCCAACCACCGCCGCCGCCGCCGACAGCACCCACCACCAGCACACAAGCGCUUCGCAGAGCCACCCGCGCGGUGCCUGGGCGGACUACCAACCUCCUCAGGCCAGCGCACCGAGCCGAGCGGCCGAGCGGCCGAGCCAGCCGGGACGGAGCGGUUCAUCAGAGCAACGAGAAGACUGAACACGUGUACCUGUCAUGACAAUACACCGCCCAGUGUGUUUUUA